CCUACGGGUGGCAGCAGUGGGGAAUAUUGCACAAUGGGCGCAAGCCUGAUGCAGCCAUGCCGCGUGUGUGAAGAAGGCCUUCGGAUUGUAAAGCACUUUCAGCGGGGAGGAAGGCGGUGAGGUUAAUAACCUCAUCGAUUGACGUUACCCGCAGAAGAAGCACCGGCUAACUCCGUGCCAGCAGCCGCGGUAAUACGGAGGGUGCAAGCGUUAAUCGGAAUUACUGGGCGUAAAGCGCACGCAGGCGGUCUGUCAAGUCGGAUGUGAAAUCCCCGGGCUCAACCUGGGAACUGCAUUCGAAACUGGCAGGCUAGAGUCUUGUAGAGGGGGGUAGAAUUCCAGGUGUAGCGGUGAAAUGCGUAGAGAUCUGGAGGAAUACCGGUGGCGAAGGCGGCCCCCUGGACAAAGACUGACGCUCAGGUGCGAAAGCGUGGGGAGCAAACAGGAUUAGAUACCCCAGUAGUC
rnacentral:rRNA from 1 species